CCUCCCUUCACUCACCACCCUCUCUCUCCUCCGCCCACCACCCCUCUUUACUCCCCUCAAGUCGAGAGACUUCUGUGUCUUCUCCGACGAUGACGACGGCGAUGGUAAGUAUGAAAUGGACGAUCUCAAACUUCAGUUCUCUCUCAUCUAUCUCUCUCCCCUCUUUCGAUCGAUCUUUCUGCAUUUCUCAAGUUUGUCGAUUUGUUUGAUCCUUCUAUUUCACGAUUCAAUGAUUCGGCGAUUGGCCUUCACACGACCCUCACAACUCUGCCCUUCUGAUCCUGCAAAUGCCUCCGAUCAGCGGGUGCAGCAUUAAGUCCUAAAUAUGCACACGAUGCCUCUGAGAUGUGGAUGACCGAGGCUGAAAUGGCUUUUCCGAACUAGAGGUUUUAUGCGGUCAGUGGGGAGGUUAAGGAUUUGCAAGUUUCUGGGUUGUUUUUUGCUAUAGGGCAUGAACCGGCUACUAAGUUUUUGGGUGGGCAGCUGGAGUUGGAUGAUGAUGGCUAUGUGGUGACUACACCGGGGACGACGAAGACCAAUGUUAAAGGUAAAAUUCUGUAUUUUUCAAGAUCUGCAAUUGGAAUUUUGUUACCCAUAUGAGAUAAUCUGCUGUGUAUUAUGUAGUUGAUAUUUUUCCAGAUAUAGCUGACCUUUUAUAUAUAAAUGUGAACAUUUGCUUAUUGUUCAUGCUAAAUAAUCUAUAAUUGUGAACAAUUGCUUAUUGUUCAUGCUAAAAUCUGUGUACUGUCUGUGUACAUGACUAGCUCAUAAUAAUUAGAGCAACUGUUACUUUUUUGACAAAUUUUGUUAUUCACAACAACUGAUCAAACCAAACAAUUGGAGCUAUUAGUUAUAACUGGGAGUUUAGGAUAAUUUGUGUAUUGUCUAUGGAUAAUUUCGAGCAUUAGACGGAUAUUGGAGCUAAA